ensembl:ncRNA lncRNA:CR45642 long non-coding RNA:CR45642
ACACCACCGCCCGUCCAACGAGCCCGCCUGCCCGCCCUGCCUCCCCCAGCUGGUAGAGAGCCAGAGCCAAAGCCCAAAUGUCUGACAGGCAAGAGCAACGCAACGCAAUGCCACCAACCACCCACUGUUCCCUACACUCUAUACGCCGCCCUUGCCAUGCCAUGCCAUCCACCCACCCACCAGAGCCAUCACCACGGCCACCCAAUCAAGCCGGCCACCCACCACGUCAGGCAGCCGCACCAUCGACCCACCACCCAUCAUCCACCCACCUCCACCGCACGGGCUACGUUGUCGGCAUAA